rnacentral:rRNA from 1 species
AUUGAACGCUGGCGGCAGGCCUAACACAUGCAAGUCGAGCGGAUGAAGGGAGCUUGCUCCUGGAUUCAGCGGCGGACGGGUGAGUAAUGCCUAGGAAUCUGCCUGGUAGUGGGGGAUAACGUCCGGAAACGGGCGCUAAUACCGCAUACGUCCUGAGGGAGAAAGUGGGGGAUCUUCGGACCUCACGCUAUCAGAUGAGCCUAGGUCGGAUUAGCUAGUUGGUGGGGUAAAGGCCUACCAAGGCGACGCUCCGUAACUGGUCUGAGAGGAUGAUCAGUCACACUGGAACUGAGACACGGUCCAGACUCCUACGGGAGGCAGCAGUGGGGAAUAUUGGACAAUGGGCGAAAGCCUGAUCCAGCCAUGCCGCGUGUGUGAAGAAGGUCUUCGGAUUGUAAAGCGCUUUAAGUUGGGAGAAAGGGCAGUAAGUUAAUACCUUGCUGUUUUGACGUUACCAAAAGAAUAAGCACCGGCUAACUUCGUG